CCGAGUUUACAAACUCCCAAACCCUUUGUGAACCUUACCAUAUCGUUGCUUCGGCGGGACCGCCCCGGCGCCCUCGGGCCCGGAACCAGGCGCCCGCCGGAGGCCCCAAACUCUUAUGUCUUUAGUGGUUUUCUCCUCUGAGUGACACAUAAACAAAUAAAUAA
rnacentral:misc_RNA from 1 species